CUCGCUGUCAGCCGCGUCAGUGUCAUCAGUGAGUGUGUGUCAGUGCGUCCGCGCGACAGGACGCGUGUAGUGCUCGCGCCGGAGCCGGCGACAGUCAGCGAGACACGAUGAGCGCGCGAGCGGCGGCCUGCGCGCUGCUGGCGCUGUGGCUGUGCGCGCGCGGCGGCGCCGAGCGGGCGCUGCUGGCGCCGGCCGCCUACGAGCUGGAGUCCGCGCUGGAGCUCAACGACGCGGCGCGCGCGGACCGGGAGGUGGGCUACCGCCUGCGCGCCACGCUGCACGUCGACACGCCCUGGGCGCAGCCGCCGCACUACCUGCUGCGGCUCCGGUUGGAGUCUCCCAAGCUGUACCUGAGAGGCAAGCAUGUGAACGCAGACUUCAUGCCGUACGACUCCGUGUGGGACGAGUACAGUGACUCCACGUUCUAUGCGCACUGGACGGACGGGCUCAUCCAGACGGCCUACCUGGACGCCAGCGACCUGCCUGAUGUGCUCAACUACAAGAAGGCACUGCUCAGUCUGUUUCAGAUCCAACAGUUGGAGGGAGAGCACAAUGAGACAGACGUGUCGGGCCCCUGUAUGGUUCAGUACGAGACCAUCUCUCCGCAGGUUUUCAGGAAGAUCAAGAUGCGGUGCUCGUGCGACGCGGGCGGCGUGAGCGCGCGGCGCGUGCUGCGCUACUCGCUGGAGCAGGGCCGGCUGCGCGAGCUGUACGCCGACGAGCUGCUGGCGCUGCCGCCCGCCGGCCUGGGCGUCAAGGCGCGCUCGUGGCACCGCCUGGCGGCCCCGCGCGCCAAGCCCGGGCCCCGCUCGGCCGGGCCCCAGGCCCCCGACCUGGCGGCGGCGCUGGCCGCGCUGCCCGCCUCGCUCGCGCCGCAGCCGCUGGCGCUGGCGUCGCCGCCCGCCGACGAUGACGUGGAGGAGCUGGGCGCGGCGCUGCGGGAAGAGCGACUCACUCGCCAGCGAGCAGCCCGGCGCCGGCGGCACCGCGCCCGCCGCCCGCGCGCUGCUGCGCCUGCUGCCCGCCGCGCGCCAAACUCCUCCGCUGCUCCGCCGCCGCCGCGCGACCAGCUGGCGCGCGGCCUGGCGCUGCUGCCGCGACGCCUGCCGCGCGCUGCGCCUGCUGGCGUCGGCAACCUGCGCCGCGCCGACUGCGCCGACCUGCUGCUGGAGCACGCCGAGCGCGCCGACGCGGCGUCACUGGCCGCCGUGACCGCUGGCGCGCCUGCCGCCCGCCGCGCUCACGUUCGCGCGGCUGGACCGGCUGAGCGCGCUGGCGCUGCGGGCGGGGCGCGCGCUGGAGCUGCGCGCGGCGGCGCUGGAGCUGGUGGUGGAUCGUCGCGCGGCAGUGCCCACGCCGCUGGCGAGCGUGGCGGCGGCGCUGCAGGCGGAGCGCGGCGCGGACGCGCCGAGCUGCGGCGCGUGCUGUGGCCGCGCGGAGGCGCUGGCGGCGGCGCCGGGCGCGAGGGCUGCGCGCGCUGCGCGGGCGGCUGGCGCCAGCGCUGCGCGGCUGGGACGCGCGGGCGGCGGGCGGCACGUCGGCGGUGCUGGCGCGGGCGCCGGGCUGGGGCGGCGCGGGCUGGCGCGCGGAGCUGCGCUCGGCGCAGGUGGCGCGGGCGGGGCUGCUGCGCCGCGGCACGGUGCGGCUGCUGUUCACCGACGACGACGACGCGGAUGAAAUGUUCGACGCUCUCACUGUGGAGGUGUGGACCAAAGGCUUGGAAGCAUUCAGCGGCGCCAGCAGUGAGGACGCGGACAGCGGCGCCGGCAGUGGGGACGCCGGCAGCGAGGACGCCGGCGAGGAGGCGGAGGGCGGGCUGGCGCUGUCGGUGGGCGGCGCGCGCAUGCGCGACGUGCAGCUGUUCCGCGGGCAGGCGGAGCUGCUGGGGCACGUGAGCCGGCGCGUCCGCGCCCACGCCGGCGCUGCGCGCGCUGCUGCCGCUGCACGAGCACGCCGCCGCGCUGCCGCUGGCGGCCGCGCCUGGGCGCGCGCACACGGGCGCGGCGGCGGCGCUGGCGCUGGACGCGGCGGCCACGGUGUCGCUGUGGUGGCGCAGCGCGCGCGCGGAGCUGGCGGUGCGGGCGGCGGGCGCGGGCGCGGCGCGGCUGGCGGUGCACACGCGCUGGGCGGCGCUGCGCGCGGCGCUGGGCGCGGCGCCGCGGCUGCGGCUGGGCGCGGACCUGGACUCUACUCGGGCGUGGCUGUGCGUGCGCGCGAGGCUCGGCGCCGCACGCGGGCGCGGUCGCGGGCGGGCGCGCGCGCGCGUGACGCGGCGGCGGCGCGGCGGCGGGCGGGCCGCACGCUGUCGCUGGGGCGCCGCAACGACGCCACGUGCCGCACGCUGCGCGAGCCGGACGACGCCGCCGAGCAGUAGCCGGCGCCGGCAGCCGCCGCAUCGCUACACCGAGCACCAAAGAUAGCUCCCCUUAGUCACUUAGAAGAUUGAUACCAACGAGACGCCAAGUACAUUUAUAUACGUAGUCGACUGCAUUUAUUCGAGAUCUGAACGACGAUCUAAGAACCUAUUUAUAUUUCUAUUUUUAUGAAGAAAAUUACUAUUUUUGAUUAAUGUUUAUUAAAAUAAUUAUGAAAUAUA